ensembl:lncRNA
GUAUUAUGAUACGAUAUUAGGAUAAAAAUGCAAGGCUAUUAUAUUAUUCUGUCUUCAUUUAUCUGCCUGGAUUCGUCUGUUUUGUUUAUUUCCCAGAAGCUCCAGUUGUUAGGAUUCAAAAGCACAAAAUGUUAGUUCUCUACACAAGGGAUGGAUGAGAGGAUGUCAGUCCCCACCAACAAAAUCUCCUUCUCUGAUAACAAGGGUUGGGCCUCAGCACCACCAAGUACGACUACCUUCUUUUAAAGACGAACAGGAAAACUCUGCAUCGGUCAAUCAACACGAGCAACAUCAGGUUUCCACUGGUCCAGCAGCAUUUCAGAACCACCAGCAGUGAGG